GGACCAUGAGAUUAUGACCUGAGCCAAAACCAGACACGCUCAAAGGACUGUGCCACCCAGACUAUGCUGUCCUUGUGUCUGUGCCAGCUCCUUCUCUGGAAUUGCCCGGCUCAAGCAAUUUGAUGCAUGAUGUUAAACUAUGUAUCUCCAUGGAGGCAAACAAAAAGUGUCAUUGGGACUCAGCCAGGGAUACACAUAUACCCACACCCAUAUGUAUACGUGCACGGUGAACUUUCCAUGAGAGUCAACUAGAAAAGCCUGCAGCAGCAAGCCUACUAUGUGCCACAGGAGCUUCUGUGUGGAACCUCUUUCUGGACCACGUGACACAUCUUCACAAACUCCUCGCUGGCUCUCAGGCUUCAUGUGUCGGUCAUCGUUCACCAUCUUGACUUCUAACCCUGUGCCAUUUCUCCUGCAUUUGCUUCUGCUUGCCUCCUUGUGCCCUGAGUGUGUUUGUGCAGGCAGCUGGGUGCUUUGUCUGCUGCCCUUUUCCCCCACGUGAGGCCCAAGGAGGCUCAGAACCAACCCAGUGGAUUUACUUCUGGAAGAAUCAGUUAUGUCCAGGUCUUUUCUAAGACAGUCCUGUUCUUACUAUUCAUCUUCUUGCCUCAGCAUUCAGGCAUUUGCCACCAGUAUUUAUAAUUACUGGCCCAUUUCAGAGUCUCUCUCUCUCUCUCUCUUUUUAACCAAAACAAUGUCUCUGUAUUUGGUGAUC